AAUUGUUUUUCUUUAGAUAAUAACUUUCAGAGAGUUUAUAUACCAGAAACUGGAAAAUAAAUUUGCUAGUGACUACAGUCAUUAAGUUGCAGUGGUUUCAGAGUGGGGCAAGGCGUCGAAAUGAUUUUAAGAUUAACUUUAGGAAUUUGCCUUUUCCUGGCAGCUGCGUGCGUUAAUGGAGACGAUCAUUUU
rnacentral:lncRNA from 1 species